rnacentral:rRNA from 1 species
AUACGGAGGAUGCGAGCGUUAUCCGGAUUUAUUGGGUUUAAAGGGAGCGUAGGUGGGAUAUUAAGUCAGCUGUGAAAGUUUGGGGCUCAACCUUAAAAUUGCAGUUGAUACUGGUUUCCUUGAGUACGGUAUAGGUGGGAGGAAUUCGUGGUGUAGCGGUGAAAUGCUUAGAUAUCACGAAGAACUCCGAUCGCGAAGGCAGCUCACCGGGCCGGAACUGACACUGAUGCUCGAAAGUGCGGGUAUCAAACAGGAUUAGAUACCCUGGUAGUCCGCACAGUAAACGAUGAAUACUCGCUGUUUGCGAUACACUGUAAGCGGCCAAGCGAAAGCGUUAAGUAUUCCACCUGGGGAGUACGCCGGCAACGGUGAAACUCAAAUGAAUUGGCGGGG